rnacentral:misc_RNA from 1 species
GAUGAAGAACGUAGUGAAAUGCGAUAAGUAGUGUGAAUUGCAGAAUUCAGUGAAUCAUCGAAUCUUUGAACGCACAUUGCGCCCCAUGGUAUUCCGUGGGGCAUGCCUGUUCGAGCGUCAUUUACCCCCUCAAGCUCCGCUUGGUGUUGGGCGUCUGUCCCGCUUCGCGCGCGGACUCGCCCCAAAGGUAUUGGCAGCGGUAGUGCCAGCUUCUCGCGCAGCACAUUGCGCUUCUCGAGGCACCGGUGGGCCCGCGUCCAUCAAGCUCACCCCCCCAGUUUGACCUCGGAUCAGGUAGGGAUACCCGCUGAACUUAAGCAUAUCAUAAGCGGAGGA